rnacentral:rRNA from 1 species
GAUGAACGCUGGCGGCGUGCCUAAUACAUGCAAGUCGAGCGAACAGACGAGGAGCUUGCUCCUCUGACGUUAGCGGCGGACGGGUGAGUAACACGUGGAUAACCUACCUAUAAGACUGGGAUAACUUCGGGAAACCGGAGCUAAUACCGGAUAAUAUAUUGAACCGCAUGGUUCAAUAGUGAAAGACGGUUUUGCUGUCACUUAUAGAUGGAUCCGCGCCGCAUUAGCUAGUUGGUAAGGUAACGGCUUACCAAGGCAACGAUGCGUAGCCGACCUGAGAGGGUGAUCGGCCACACUGGAACUGAGACACGGUCCAGACUCCUACGGGAGGCAGCAGUAGGGAAUCUUCCGCAAUGGGCGAAAGCCUGACGGAGCAACGCCGCGUGAAUGAUGAAGGUCUUCGGAUCGUAAAACUCUGUUAUUAGGGAAGAACAAAUGUGUAAGUAACUAUGCACGUCUUGACGGUACCUAAGCAGAAAACCACGGCUAACUACGU